AGCAUGGACACAUGAAACAUAUUAUGAACCUUGGAUAGUUCUAGAGGCAGUGCCAGUCUGUAGGCGACGAUGCUAAUUCUGUAUAAGAUUUCGAAUGGCCCAAUAAAUCGAGAAUUUAGUUUUCUCAUCUUUCCAAACUUACUGAUUCUCUCGAAAGGAGUGACCUUAAGAAACACUCGAUCACCUUUCUCAAAUUCCAAAUCCCUCCUCCAGGUAUCCACAUAACUUUUCUGCUUACUCUGAGCUGUCUGGAUGUUCUUCCUGAUCUUAACUAUUUGUUGUGGUCUCCUCCACU
rnacentral:lncRNA from 1 species